GAAAGGAGAUCCUCAGAUCUUUCGUAAUCAAAACCUUGCUUGACAUCUUGAAGAUCAGAGAUUCUCGAUGUUAAAUGUAUGGCGCUGGAGACGAUCAUUUUGCUAUCCCAGUCCUUGCUAAAAAUUAUUUCCUAGCUUCUAGACCUCCAUAGAACAUAGAUAUUGGCGUUAGUUGAUGGUGCUUUUCUACUUCAAAAUUUCCAGCCAUCAUUCCACUGCUGUU
rnacentral:misc_RNA from 1 species